rnacentral:rRNA from 1 species
UCCUGGCUCAGGACGAACGCUGGCGGCGCGCCUAACACAUGCAAGUCGAACGGAGUUAAAUAGCUUGCUAUUAACUAGUGGCGGACGGGUGAGUAACACGUGAGCAACCUGCCUUUCAGAGGGGGACAACAGUUGGAAACGACUGCUAAUACCGCAUAACGUGGUUUUCCGGCAUCGGAGAGCUACCAAAGAUUUAUCGCUGAAAGAUGGGCUCGCGUCUGAUUAGAUAGUUGGUGAGGUAACGGCCCACCAAGUCGACGAUCAGUAGCCGGACUGAGAGGUUGAACGGCCACAUUGGGACUGAGACACGGCCCAGACUCCUACGGGAGGCAGCAGUGGGGGAUAUUGGAACCAAUGGGGGAAACCCUGAUCCAGCGACGCCGCGUGAGGGAAGAAGGUUUUCGGAUUGUAAACCUCUGUUGACGGGGAAGAAAAUGACGGUACCCGUUCGGAAAGCCACGGCUAACUACGUGCCAGCAGCCGC